rnacentral:rRNA from 1 species
GUAGGGGGCAAGCGUUGUCCGGAUUUAUUGGGCGUAAAGAGCGUGUAGGCGGCCAGGGAGGUCCGUUGUGAAAACUCGAGGCUCAACCUCGAGACGUCGAUGGAAACCAUCUGGCUAGAGUCCGGAAGAGGAGAGUGGAAUUCCUGGUGUAGCGGUGAAAUGCGCAGAUAUCAGGAAGAACACCCGUGGCGAAGGCGGCUCUCUGGGACGGUACUGACGCUGAGACGCGAAAGCGUGGGGAGCGAACAGG